AUGCACCAACCCCCCAGGAAAGCUUCAUCUCUGUGUGUGCCAGUUGCACAUCCUCUGGGCUUUCAUUGUCAGCUCCACAGGAAGGAGUGGAUGACUUGGUGUGUCAAAUCAUUUCGGAUUUUCUCUUCUCUUGUUUUUUUGCCUGUAAUAAAUUUGGUGUUAACGCAACAUGACAUCUUGGUGGGUUCAAACAGCACAGAACCAACAUGGAGUACUGAUCUCAUUUGUGUUUUCUGUUAUUCCUCUAAAGACAGCAGAAGAAGCAUCCGACAAAACCCUUAAACCCCAACAGUAAGAGUGGAGAGAUAAGGUAAAUAAUUACCUUUAAAUGUCAUGUUUUAAGCCAACAUGAAUGAUGAGUCUUUGAUGAAAUGAAAUUUUGAUCAUUACUAUUCCCAGGACAACUACGCACAGACUCUUUCUGCUGAGAUAAUUUGACAGAAGGCUCAAGAACAGCUACUUUGUAAAACGAUGUGCAGAUUUUUGUCAACUGCUUAAGGGAAGUUAAAGGUUUUAGGGUUGAAGUGUUGAACAGAUUUGUUUUAAAUAAGGAAUACAAACGCUGCUGUAGCCCAUACACUGUGUUGUAUCUUGUCUUGAAAAUGUUUUUCAUUUGAAGGGUAUGCAUUUAGAGUUUAUCUCCAUUGAGCUGUGUAGCUGGCACACAACAUUGCCAUGCUCACCUUGCUCAUGGCCUUCUCCGCUUGGUAUCUAUCCAGUGAGUCUACACAAUCCAACAACUGUGUAGCCCAGGGAUGCUUUCAGCCUGCAUCUAGUUUGCCUGCGAUCUUCCUCCGCUGCAUCUGGCGGAGGAGCUCACUCUGGCUGCUGGAGUUGAGGUGCUUUAUCUCACUGCCCAGUCCAACUGCUUGUCUGUGUCCCUCCCUCCUGCAGGCACCCCCGAGGUACUGGCAGUAGAUAAGAGGCAGCUCUGGUUUGAAAAAGAGAGGCCGUGAGGACAUGUAGAGAUAUUACUGAAUGUAUUUGUUGCAGAAACAAACUUGAAAUGCUCUUUUUUGGAGGGAUAUUUCAUAGCAUUUGUCAUCUCUCUUCCACUAGUUUACACAUCAGUGGAUCCAAUUUGUAAAGUCAAGAACAGUGACCACGUAAAAACUAUGUAGGAUACAUGUUCUUAAGAACUGUAUAUAAGCUACUUGUACUCAGAAUAAAAUGUGUGAUGUGUUUCUCUCUACACCUAAAUGAAAUGUACAGAGAGACUUUAUGAUUGGUUUAUAUCAUUUGAUGCAAUAUUAUUCCUCAAACUAUUACUAAUACCAUCCCAAUGAGCUACAACAUUUGAUAAAUUAAUAAUCAAUUAAUGUUUCUUUCUCCACAGGAUUUAAAAAAAGUUCUAUUUCAGUCUUUGCUUUUCAGUGCUUUAAUAACAAUUGAUAGGAUUUCACAUAAAACCUUCAGGUUAGGUUAAGAAGUUGUUGUACUAACUCUACUGAAUACUAUGUAUUACUAUAAGGUUUGUUCUAAUUCAUCAGGUUAAUCAUAAAUAGGUUAUAAAAUAUUAAUAAGGAUGUAAUGUCAACUGUUGAUACAUUUUGUUAUUAAAUUAUUAACAUUCAUAAUUACACAGCAGAAGUAAAGAGUUAUGAGUAUGACAGCAAGAGAUCAGUUUCACAACUUGUGAGGCCCAUAGUAGUAAUUACAGUAAUGUCCUGUCAUAAAGGAAUUAAUAAUAAAUUAAGUAAGGUUGUGGUGAUUUAAUAAUAAAGUAUAUUCUUGCAACUUUUGAACCAUUUAGAUAAGGUGCCUUAUUAAAUAGGAGUUCAAACACUCUUUUUUUUCUAAACAUUUCAUAAAUCCUUGAGGGAAGUCAUGAGACAGGCUGUAAUUUACAGAAACCCUGCAGUAGGCUCCUAACUGGCUGCUUCGCCUCCGUCGCGCUCCUCUUCAUCAAACAAAGCGAAGUCACUCAUCUCGGUCACGACCUGACUUCACGGCCGACAGAGCAGCCUGCGCAACGUUCAGCUGUCGCUUUAAGACCCAUUUCCCCUCAUUGUCAAGCAGUCGUGAGCAGGAAGAGGGAAGCGAAAGCAGAGGCCGAGGGGGGCCGACGUAUUUAAACACGAUGCUGCUGCUGCUGCACAACGGAACGGUGGCAGCGGCUUCGUGCGGGUGAGCGCGUCUGCAGCCAGCUCGCUCACAAAAGACGCACGGACACGGAGCUCGGUGCCCAGAGAUCAGACCGGUGGCGUUUUCAUGUGAUGAAGCGCGGACGGUGCUGUGAGCCGCUGCAUCAUGAUAAAACACAUUUGAGACAUGGAUGUGUCGGCACGGGUUACUGCCCUCAGGAAAUGAUGACGGUGUCCUCCAUCAUCGUUUAGCUGCUUAGGGCGAAGAUUUCUUGUCUUGCGGCUGUUUCGGCUUGACUCGGUUUCCAGGUUAUUUAUCACACGAACAGGUCAAACCGUGGUGCAGCUCGAGUCUUGGCGGCUCCAGGAGCAGGUGCAGCGCGUCUUGGCACCAGUCUGCCCGCAGGCAGCUUCACAGGUAGCCGCUUAGCUGGUGGCGGAACCUCAAAUCUAAUCUGGAUCAGA
rnacentral:lncRNA from 1 species